UACGGCGGGUCCAAGCGUUAUCCGGAAUCAUUGGGUUUAAAGGGUCCGUAGGCGGUUUUGUAAGUCAGUGGUGAAAGCCCAUCGCUCAACGGUGGAACGGCCAUUGAUACUGCAAGACUUGAAUUAUUGGGAAGUAACUAGAAUAUGUAGUGUAGCGGUGAAAUGCUUAGAGAUUACAUGGAAUACCAAUUGCGAAGGCAGGUUACUACAAAUAUAUUGACGCUGAUGGACGAAAGCGUGGGGAGCGAACAGG
rnacentral:rRNA from 1 species